rnacentral:rRNA from 1 species
UUUAAARGGRUGCSKUAGGUKGUUUGRWWAAGUCARSCGGKGAAAGUUUGCAGCUUAACUGUAAAAAAUSCCGUUGAAAACUGUCGGACUUGAGUGUAAAUGAGGUUAGGCGGAAUGCCGUGRUGUAGCGGUGAAAUGCAUAGAUAUCWCGCAGAACUCCCGAUUGCGAAGGGCAGCUUACUAAGCUACAACUGACAMUGAAGCACGAAAGCGUGGGGGAUCAAACAGGAUUAGAUACCCUGGUAGUCCACGCAGUAAACGAUGAUUACUAGCUGUUUGCGAUACACAGUAAGCGGCACAGCGAAAGCGUUAAGUAAUCCACCUGGGGAGUACGCCGGUAACGGUSAAACUCAAAGGAAUUGACGGGGGCCCGCACAARMGGAGGAACAUGUGGUUUAAUUCGAUGAUACGCGAGGAACCUUACCCGGGUUUGAACGUAGGGAGACAGGAGUGGAAACAUUCUUUUCAGCAAUGACUGCCUACGAGGUGCUGCAUGGUUGUCGUCAGCUCGUGCCGUGAGGUGUCGGCUUAAGUGCCAUAACGAGCGCAACCCUUAUUUCCAGUUACUAACAGGUCAAGCUGAGGACUCUGGAGAGACUGCCAGCGUAAGYUGKGAGGAAGGUGGGGAUGACGUCAAAUCAGCACGGCCCUUACAUCCGGGGCGACACACGUGUUACAAUGGUAAGGACAAAGGGCAGCUACCGGGCGACCGGAUGCGAAUCUCUAAACCUUUYUCAGUUCGGAUCRGAGUCUGCAACUCGACUCCGWGAAGCUGGAUCGCUAGUAAUCKYKCAUCWGAKAUAWUAUCSKCCCAAARAA